rnacentral:lncRNA from 1 species
AUUUGGCCCCGCGGCCCCAUUUUCAAAGCGCAGGUUCCGAUUUCCCGAGAGAUGGCAAAGGCCCUGGCAGGAAGUUUACAGGGUUUAACGUAAACAAGUUCUGGGGGAUUCUUUAAUAAUAAUAAUAGAGAAUUCCGCGUGCGCAGGGCGGGAGGGGGGAGUUGGCCUAAUGCCCCUGUGGGCUCGGCCUGCCGCCGCCGCGGGGGCCUCUGACACUGCGCGCCAGGCCAGGUUCCUGAGAGCAGACAGCGCGGGCUGGGAGCGCCGGCAAGGGCGGCCCUCGCGCGCCUGGCUGCCAGCCGGCGGGGUGCUCGCACGCAGACCUGCCCUUGCCACCUCAGCGCUCGGGUGCGGGCUGGGGGCGGUGGAGCCAGGAAAGGUGGUGCCGAGAGCGGAGCGCAGGACAGCGCAGGAGCCCUGGCGCAACGCGGCGCGCACAGACCCAGGAUUUGUGAAGAGGUGACCCAAAUUUCAGACAAUGUUGGAUGCAAACGGAUUUGCCAGCAAUUGCAUCACUGUCAAAACCAGCUCUGCCCGUGUCUUCCGAAGAUACCAAGUGAAAUAUGUGUAGAUGGGAUUUACAUCUGAAAAACCAAGUGAGAAACUGAAGACCAGAGAGGGUGAGUGGUUUACCCAGUUUGGCACAACUGACCCCAACCUAGCCCUCCAUGAGGACUGAGCACAUGAGAGAUCCUGAGCCACAGCCACCCAGCCCUGCUCCUCUCGAAUUUCUGACCUACAGGAAGUGCAAGAAGUAAUGAAAGACUGCUGUUUAAAGCCACUGCAUUUUGGCAUGAUUUGUUAUGCAGUCAUAGAUAACCAGAAAACAUCGGAUUUACAUUUUAAGGAUUUGGUGCAUGGGAUGGGCUCAGUUGGGCAGUUCUUCUGUUCCAUGUGAUGGUACUGGGGCUGCAGUCAUUCAGAGGCUCAACUGGGCUGAACGUGCAAGGUUUCUUGCUCACGUGGCCAUCAGUGGUGCUGGCUGGUGUUGGGAGCUCCACUGGACUUCUGUCCAGAGCUCCUCAGCUCACCUCUUUGUAUCCUUGCCCUGUGGCUCAGGCUUCUAACAAUACAGAGGCUGGAUUCCAAGAGGCGGGAAUUAGAAGUGUUCAGCCUUCUUAAGACCAGGAUUCAGAUGUCCCAGACUGUCACUGUAUUGACCGGAGCAUUUACAGGCCUGCCCAGUAAUUUUUCCAUCUUGGGCAGGAAUGGGUGGCAUAUGCUGGGGGUAGGGGUAGCAUUGUUGGGGAUCAUCUUUGGAGCUGUGUGCCAAGGAGUAAAUUGCUGGGCUGCUUUCUACCUGAGGAAGUCCACUAUGCUUGCUUGUGGAGAGUGGAUUGUGUGCACAGAGUCCACAAGGAUUUAAGAAUCCGAGCCCUGCUGCCCUUGCCUCAGCCUGUGCAUUAGGGCCCGGUGGUGAGAGCACUGAGCCAUUGUGAAUCAAGGCCCCUCCCUCGACCUGCAUUCUAACAGGCCACAAGAGCUUGCUUGAUUUUGGUCCUAGGCUGCUGCCUGUGGGUUGGAUUCCAGGGGCACUCUCUCCUCCACAAACCAGACGGUGGCAGGUACAUCCCCUCAAUGGAAAUUGCCCACACUUCACCCUAAAGACAGAUCCUGCUGUUCAGCAACAAUGUGAGUGGCCCACACAUUUGUCCAGCAUGAAACCGUUUGCAGAUUCCUUUCCAGUACACAGUCCCGUCAGCCGGUCACAUCACGAUGACAGCUCCUCGAAGCACCUUUUGGUUUGCAGUUGUGUAGCUUAGAAGUAGGAGCCUGCACGGCUUCAGGAAUUCACAGAAGGAACACACUUUGCGGUUGGAGAAGUUAAUCAUAGGAAUAUCCUGCAACCUGCUGCUCUGAGCCUGUGCACCUGGGGUGUUUCCCUGGAGGUCCUGUGUAUGAGGAUACUCGUCAGCAUGGGGUUUGGGAAGCCUAGCACUGGAGACAACCUAGGUGGUCCUCUCCAGGGGAGUAGGUAAGAGCCCUACAGCAGUGAAAAGCAUUGAAGGAAAAGUGUGUUCAGCAGCGCUCUUAAUCUGAUCAGAGCAGCCUGAACACAUUCUAAACACAGGGCAUUUAGAACUAGGGUAGAGGCACUAGAGCACCAUAGAUACAAACUCAGAUUCUGAAGGUAAAUGCCCAGGUUCAAAUCCAAGCCCCCUCGCCAAGUGACCACGACUCCCCCGAGUCACCUGACCUCUGUGUUUACAUCCUCAAAGUUAAGUAGUCAGGAAAGGGGGCUUGGGGCUUGCCACAUGGAUGGUUGCCACUCUCCUUUGCAAAGUGUAGUCCCCAAAAACAGGUGGAAGAGGGAAGGGUCCAAUUAGAAGGCCGAGUACCAGCUGCCGUGAAUACGCCAGAGCUGCUGGCUAGUGAUAAAUAACUGAAACCCAGGGGGACAGCAGAGCUAGGGUGACCACACAUUCUAGGAAAGAAAAGAUGCCUGUUGUACUGGCUUUUUAUCCAGCUUAGACAAAGAAGGGCAAAGAAAAUAAUUUAGAAAAUGGUAGAGAUGGGCACAGAGAAAGGGCACUGAGGGAGGCACAAACAGAAGGCCAAGUGAUGGUGGAGGUAGACAUUGGAGAAAUGCCUUUGCAAGCCGGCGAAUGCAAAGGAUGCUGGCAACCCUGGGAGUGGGAAGAACCUGGAACACGCCCUCCCUCAGAGUCUCCAGAAGGAACUGGCCCUUCAUCACCUUUCGGAUUUCUGGCCUCCAGAACUGGGCAAGAAAAUGUUUCUGCUGUUGGAGGCCAUCCAGCUGGUGGUCAUUUGUUAUGGUUGCCACAGAAAACGAAUAUAGAUUUAGACAUCUAAUUUGCAUAUAUAGAUGUGCAUGUGUAUUU